UUGGUGUCUGCUUCAUCCUGGAGCAUAGU
rnacentral:piRNA from 1 species